rnacentral:tRNA from 1 species
GCCUGGGUGGCUCAGUUGGUUGAGCAUCCGACUUCGGCUCAGGUCAUGAUCUCACAGCUCAUGAGUUCGAGCCCCAUGUCAGGCU